GAUGAACGCUAGCGGCAGGCUUAAUACAUGCAAGUCGUGGGGCAGCAGGGGUAGCAAUACUCGCUGGCGACCGGCAAACGGGUGCGGAACACGUACACAACCUUCCUUUAAGCGGGGGAUAGCCCAGAGAAAUUUGGAUUAAUACCCCAUAGUGUAUCGAAUAGGCAUCUUUUUGAUAUUAAAGAUUUAUCACUUGAAGAUGGGUGUGCGGCUGAUUAGGUAGUUGGCGGGGUAACGGCCCACCAAGCCUACGAUCAGUAGCUGAUGUGAGAGCAUGAUCAGCCACACGGGCACUGAGACACGGGCCCGACUCCUACGGGAGGCAGCAGUAAGGAAUAUUGGACAAUGGGCGAAAGCCUGAUCCAGCCAUGCCGCGUGAAGGAUUAAGGUCCUCUGGAUUGUAAACUUCUUUUAUAUGGGACGAAAAAAGGGAAUUCUUUCUCACUUGACGGUACCAUAUGAAUAAGCACCGGCUAACUCCGUGCCAGCAGCCGCGGUAA
rnacentral:rRNA from 1 species